CACGUAGGCACCAAGCGUUGUCCGGAUUUAUUGGGCGUAAAGAGCUCGUAGGCGGUUCGGUAAGUCGGGUGUGAAAACUCUGGGCUCAACCCAGAGCCGCCACCCGAUACUGCUGUGACUUGAGUUCGGGAGAGGAGCGUGGAAUUCCCAGUGUAGAGGUGAAAUUCGUAGAUAUUGGGAAGAACACCGGUGGCGAAGGCGGCGCUCUGGACCGAGACUGACGCUGAGGCGCGAAAGCGUGGGGAGCAAACAGGG
rnacentral:rRNA from 1 species